rnacentral:lncRNA from 1 species
UUUUUUUUUUUUUUUUUUUUUUUUUUUUUUUUGUCAGGGCAAGGAUUUAUUUGUCUUGUAGGGCCAUUUGCAGGGAAAGAGGUAGGUCCUGUUCUGGAUUCACACAGAUUAUUAUCAGUGAAAUGUAGCUUUGUAGCAACAGGGCUAGUUAGACAUCUUGAUGGAAAUACACUGCUAUGGGGUUUGGGUAAUGGUUUUAAUCAGGAUUUUGAGAGUUUUCAUAUUUCUUCAUAUAGAUAAGAAACAUAUACAAGAAGUCAGACUUUAGUAUGUAGUUCCAGACUGCAUUUAGGGAAAAGUCAUGGGAAGAACAAAAGCCCAGCAUACAUCUCUCAGUAAAUCACCCUGGGGCGAGACCCUCACAAGAGGUGGUUUUUUUCAGAGCAAAAUUCCUUUUGAGAUAUAAAACCUGAAGCUUGUUACAGAUUGGCACAAGAGCAUUUCACUUCCUUCCUGCAGGUGGACUCAGAAUUAUGAUCAAGAGGAUUUUUUUGUUUAAAAUUGCCAUUUCAAGAAAUCCAAAGCUUUCCAAGCACACACAGCUUAGUGCUGAUGCUCCAGGUUGAAACAGGACGCUGAGCUCCACAAGCAGUUCUUCUGUACUUCCAUGACCUCACCUCCCACCGUGUGUCGCAGGCACUGCUUCGUUAUUUCAGGAUGAUUGUGAUGUGUGAAGGGAGGCUGUGGCUUGGGUGACAGAGGGUCUUCUGUCAGACCAAAGGGAUAUUCCAGACCAAAUUAUAUCAGUAUGUAAAAUGAGGGUGAAAAAAUGGGGAAACAUUUGGAGUGAUACCGUUUGUCUUCCCAAGAAACUGUUACACCUGAUGGGGCCCUGCUCUCCUGGAGAUGUCCAAACACCUGCCUGCCCAUAGGAAGCAGUGAAUUAAUUCCUUGUUUUACCUUGCUUGUGUGAGCAGCUUUUGCUUUCCCUAUUCAACUGCCUUUAUCUCCACCCAUGGGUUUCCAGCUUUUACCCUUCUGAUUCUCUGCCUAGAGAGAAUUGUUCCUGCUGGGGGAAAAUGAGGGAGUGGCGGUGUGGGGCUUGGUUGCUGUCUGGGGUUAAACCACGACCUGGGUUAGUGGGAGCCCUGCAACAGCUUUUCAAGACAGACUUGAAAAAAUUCCAAAAUAUUUUACAAGGUGAAUAAGUAACUGCAGAGGAGUGGUGGGAUUUUUUUAUUUUUCAAAAACCUUCCAACUGACAGAAUUCUUCAUGUAAUUAAGGACUGCAUAUUCACUACCGUUUAUCUUCUUUUUUUUCCCCACUGCUGCCUAUAUGUUGAUUUUGUUAAGGGCUUCUUUUUCUGGUUGAGGGAAAACUGAGGCUUUUUUCUGUCUUUUGUGUAUACACAUCUUUUACAUUGUCUUGAAAAACUGUAGCUGUUGUGAGCAUAUUUAAUGGCUCUUCCCAAAGACAUCUGGCAGGUUAGAAAGCAGAUCCAAUACUCUUAUGUUAUUAACUGCUGCAGAAGGUAGCACAGGGGAAGUGACAGCAAAAAGGGAAUUACUUUCCUAGUUACCAAUGAGCAGGGGUGAAAGAUGGGAUUUAUAGAAAUCCAUUGAAAAUUUCAGACUCUUUCUACAACAGAAUUUAAGCUCUGCUCCUAACCCUCCCAAGGAACAAAACUCUCGAGAUAACUUUUCACAUGAUCAUGAUUAACUGUAGUCUUUGCCACAUUACAGAAAUGGCUUUUUUUUGGUUAAUGCUGCAUUUGCAAACUCCUGGGAAAAAGCUGUGAUGCACACAGGGUGUCAAGGGCUGCAUGAGCUAAUAUGAGUACCUGCUGUGACUUAGUCUUACUGCUCAGGUGUUUUUGUGGCUCCAUGGGUAGCAUCUGUCUGAGGGAGUGAUUCCAGACUGCCAUUGGGUUCCACUGCACCCUGGUUUUGAGAAUAGUAAUGAGAGCAACCAAGGUGGGUUUUUCUUCUUCCUUCUCAUUUUUUUGAAUGAGGCCUGCUGUGUUUUCGCAGAUUGUAUUGUCAUUAUUAAGUGUUUAGGAGCCUUAACUUUUAACAUCAGACAACUUGGCACCCGCUUUGAAAAGAAACAUGUUAUUCUAAAGCAGAAAAUGAGAUUAGAAAUUUGCUUUUGCAGAUAGAAACCAAGUCCUGUCAGCUCAUCUAAUCCAGUUCCUUGGCAGUGAUGCAGGCCAGCUUUCUGCACGGCAUUCCUGCACGACUGCCUCUGCCAGACGUUCCCGUCUGGGCUGCUGCGCUCCCAGUGCGGCUCACGGAGCGAGCGCGGGGCCUGCGAUGGAUCUGUGAACAGGCUGGCACGCUGGGCUGUGUCACACCCCGCUCUGACAGGGAAAAGCAUCCUACACGAGUUCACUUGGGAAAGGUCAUCCUCUAGUUCAGUGUCCCUUUUACAAAACAGCCUGAGAGAGAAGUGAAGGGCUUUUUUUGGUUUGUUUUUAUAAAGUGUGUUCAGCUUGCUAAUACAGCAGGCAUGCAGAACAUAAGCUACCCAACCAACUAUGAAACAAAUGCUAGAAUUAAUUGCUUAGAUCUCUUUGCAUUAGGGUAAAGCACAGGUUUUAAGAUGUCUUCAGUGAA